GGAGAGAUGACCGAGCGGCCGAAGGUGCACGAUUGGAAGUCGUGAGUACCCCUAAAGGGUACCGAGGGUUCAAAUCCCUCUCUCUCCG
rnacentral:tRNA from 3 species